rnacentral:rRNA from 1 species
CCUACGGGGGGCAGCAGUGGGGAAUAUUGGACAAUGGGGGGAACCCUGAUCCAGCCAUGCCGCGUGUGUGGAGAAGGCCCUCGGGUUGUAAAGCACUUUCAGUGAGGAAGAACGCCUGGUGGUUAAUACCCAUCAGGAAAGACAUCACUCACAGAAGAAGCACCGGCUAACUCCGUGCCAGCAGCCGCGGUAAUACGGAGGGUGCGAGCGUUAAUCGGAAUUACUGGGCGUAAAGCGCGCGUAGGUGGCUUGAUAAGCCGGUUGUGAAAGCCCCGGGCUCAACCUGGGAACGGCAUCCGGAACUGUCAAGCUAGAGUGCAGGAGAGGAAGGUAGAAUUCCCGGUGUAGCGGUGAAAUGCGUAGAGAUCGGGAGGAAUACCAGUGGCGAAGGCGGCCUUCUGGACUGACACUGACACUGAGGUGCGAAAGCGUGGGUAGCAAACAGGAUUAGAUACCCCUGUAGUC